rnacentral:lncRNA from 1 species
AAGGGACCUGCGCAGAGUCUGGACAUUACUCUCAGGCCAACGAGGUGGGCAGGCCUGCUGCUAGGUGACCGAGUCCUCUUUGGCGGUUUUAAUUUCCCCAGCAACUUGCUCGCCUUCUGCUGUAGCUGAAUCUGGCGCGUAAGAUUCCUGGCGGCCCAGGCCCACACCAAGGGUUAAUGUGAGAUGGCACAGCAUAGGAGACUGAAGUGUGAAAGAAGUCAUAAGAAGGCUUCCUGAGGACUUUGAGGCAACAGAGUGUUGCGUUAAGACCUGACCAUGAGGCAUCAGGCCAUGCCUGCGGAGCCGUGGACAAACAUGAAGCAGUAGAACAGGACAGAUUUUACCUUGAGCCCUAUCUGAAAGAAAGGAGAAGAUAGGGCAAAUUGUGAUCUGUAGGCGAGAUGUGUGGACAUGCCUCACCUCAACGUAUUUUUAUGAAAUUGGUUCAAGCUGAAUCUCAAUUAAAGAAUGAUAUGCCUACAGAUUCCUCACUUUAAGUAAAUGUUGACUGUAA